AGAAGCUGGUAUAUGUACUCGCACAUUUCCUGCUCAAUUCUGGUGUUCGUUCUUUGCUGUGAUUACUGGAGGUUUGACGCUUCAGUAGCUGCAUGCUUCAAGGAUUUAAAUUAAACAUAAAUCUGAAAAAAGUGGAAUAAAUAUUUCCAGAUCUGGAUUUAGUGAAGAAUGUAAAAAAAUUCUUCUUCAUUGAAUGCAAUUUCUUCGUUUUACAACAUCAAGUAUAUUUUCCAGUAGGAUGACAGGAAAACUAAAAGAAACGCCAGUAAAAGAACAAAAUACACCGGAGGAAAAAGAAAAACAGAGAAAGGGAAGUGCUAUGAGAGACAGAGCCAAACCUGCACAGAAGAAAACAACAUUAAAGAGAGGAAAAGAACAUGCCUGUGGAUUCAGAGAACACCUGAAAGUGCACCAGAUGAACAGUCUUGACGGAUAUCGACCGCGCUUCUCUCUUCGUCCAGACUGACUUGCAGAAAAUCAUUUUAUGUGAGAGAUAUUCAAAGACGAGAGUGUUCUUCAACAUCACUUUCAGUCAAUGAUUCAAAAUGAGACUGGAAUACAAAACACCAAUAUUUUUGAGUUCAAAACUGUAUAACUGUACUGUGUUCACAGGCUCAUAUAUGUGUCAUAUGAUAGUACUAUGAUCUGUUAGUGCUAAAGCAGUAACACCGAAAUCAAAUGUUUGAACUGUUUUGUACUAUUUGAACUGUAGCUCAUUUCUAGUAUAAAGCGCAUUGAGAACAAUGACUGUAAAGCGAUAGUUGUUCCAGAUAUGCCAGGUCACUCUUUUCCAUGUGAUCACAGUGAGACUGGAGAUUUCCUAAAGCUUCAUGGUUUGGUUUGUAGACACAUUGUCUAGAUUUUAACUCCUGUGACUUCAGGCACUUUAUUCUGGUGUGCAGAAGAUGAUUAUUCUUCUUUAAACGUGUCUUUAGCGUACUCAUACUUUCUGUUUAGAAGGUUUUUUUUAUCUGAAGCAUCUAGUAACCGGUGUCAAGUGUCUCAUUCAGGUGCACAAUGAUCUACGUUCUUGCAGUUUCAUGGCUGAAUGAGUUUCUGUAUUAUUUUGGUUCUUUUCACUUUGUUAAUGGUUAUGAAAGUGUCCUUAUUCCUGAACAGUUCUUUGUUUUCAGUCAUUAUGAUGACUAUCCAAAUCUGUC
rnacentral:lncRNA from 1 species